AUAAAACUGGUUAUUAAAGCAGCCUUUAUUUUCAUAUUGUACUCAGAUUAUCUGCCAACAUCCUGUGCUACAGGUCAACAAGAGAAUAUAUUAUUAUGAUCACCAGCCAGAAUCCUCUUCCUGCCACUUCUACCUCCCAACAAUAUCCUCAGUCAUUGGCACUCAAAGAGAUAUGCAUUCCUGCCAUUAUUCCAUUCCUGCAAUCCUCUUCAGCCAUAAGAUGGCAUGGCAUAUUUAUCAAAUAAGAACCACGGCUGUGGGACAUCACUAAUCAUAUUUGCUUAACUAGCAGGACAGGAGAAAAAAUAUCAUCUGACUGCUGUUUGUAGGUAAUACCAUCUAUGGGCCAGAUUCUCCUACACUUACCAAUAUUGAGUAGCACCUUAAUCAAGGGGCAGAUCAGUGAGAGUAUUCACAGAGUAAGUGGUUAUCAGAGCCCAUUCCUUAGAAAGGAUUCAACAUUGUAUUAAA